rnacentral:tRNA from 1 species
UUUGAUAUAGUUUAAUAUAAAAUGAAAAUUUUGUAAAUUUUUGAUCUAUGAGUGUCUUAA